GUCUACAUUAGAUACCCCUGUAGUCCCAGCCGUAAACUAUGCUCGCUAGGUGUCAGGCAUGGCGCGACCGUGUCUGGUGCCGCAGGGAAGCCGUGAAGCGAGCCACCUGGGAAGUACGGCCGCAAGGCUGAACUUAAAGGAAUUGGCGGGGGAGCACCACAACGGGUGGAGCCUGCGGUUUAAUUGGACUCAACGCCGGGAAGCUCACCGGAUAAGACAGCGGAAUGAUUGCCGGGCUGAAGACUCUGCAUGACUAGCUG
rnacentral:rRNA from 1 species